rnacentral:lncRNA from 1 species
UCUAUGCCAUGAGCACACAUGGGGAUACCGUCGUGCACAGGGGGUACCAUCCUGCAUGGGAGGUGCCAUCGUGCAUGGGUGGUACUGUCCUGCACAGGGAGUACCAUCCUGCACGGGGGGUACUGUCCUUUGCUGGGGAUACCGUCAUGCAUGGGGGGAUACCAUCCUGCACAGGGGGUACCAUCCUGCAUGAGGGUUACUGUCCUGCACGGGGGGUACCAUCAUGCAUGGGGGUACCAUCGUGUACUGGGGAUACCAUCCUGCAUGGGGGGUACCAUCCUGUACAGGGGUUACCAUCCUUCACUUGUUGUAUGGUCCCGCACCGAGGGUACUGUUCUGCACAGUGUACUGUUCUACAUGAGGGGUACCAUCCUGCACAGGGGCUACCAUUCUACACUGGGGGUACCAUCCUGUACAAGGGGUACUGUUCUGCAUGAGGGGUACUGUUCUACGCCAGGGGUAUUGUCCUACACCACUCACCUGGGUCAUCCUCAUGAACUUCUGUUUGUUCCUCAAGGCCCUGGUAAGCACUUCCCAUCUCUGAAACCUUCCCUAUCUUUCAAAACAGAAGAACACACUUUCUCCGAAUUGCUAACUAGAAUAACCAGUUUAGAGAGGAACAUAAAUGACCUGAUGUAGCUGAAAAAACACAACACGAGAACUUCAUGAAGCAUACACAAGUAUCAACAGCCAAACUGACUAAGUGGAGGUAUUCAGGACUUGAAUUCAGCUCUGGAUCAAGUGGACCUAGUAGACAUCUACGGAAUUCUUUACCCAAAGUCAACAGAAUAUACAUUCUUCCCAGUGCCACGUAGCACUUAUUCUAAAAUCAACCACAUAAUUGGAAGUAAAACACUCCUCAGCAAAUGCAAAAGAUUGGAAAUAAUAACAAACAGUCUCUCAGACAACAGUGCAAUCAAAUUAGAACUCAGGAUUAAGAAACUCACUCAAAACCACAUAAUUACAUGGAAACUGAACAACCUGCUCCUGAAUGACUCCUGGGUAAAUAGUGAAAUUAAGGCAGACAUCAAGAAGUUCUUUGAAACCAAUGAGAACAAAGAGACAACAUACCAGAAUCUCUACAACACAGCUAAAGCAGUGUUAAGAGGAAAAUUUAUAGUGCUAAAUGCUCUCAUCAAAAAGCUAGAAAGAUCUCAAAUCGACAUCCUAACAUCACAAUUAAAAGAGCUAGAGAGACAAAAGCAAACUAAUCCAAAAGCUAGCAGAAGACAAGAAACAACUAAGAUCAGAGAAGAAUUGAAGGAGAUAGAGACACAAAAAAUACCCCAAAAAAAUCAAUGAAUCCAGGAGCUAGUUUUUUGAAAACAAAAAAAAAAAAAUAUAUAUAUAU